GGGCAGCCUCUACACUAAUUAGGAAGCAAGGUCAGCAUCUAAACUUAUUUAGGAAGCAUAAUCUGCGCCUCCUUCCCUUUCUGAGACCAAACCGCGCGCACCAACUUCCUUCCGCAGUGCAUUUUCGCGCAGCCUUCCUUCUGAAGCCGAAAAGCGUGAUUCUUUCCUUUUCAGACACAUCUUGGGCAGAAAAUACCUCUUGGGCAGUAAGUAUGACCUAGGGCAACACUUUUCAACUAUAAAAAGCCACAUAAGAAGCCUCUACAUGGUCUUUAAGCUCCCCUUGGGAGACACCUACGAAAUUCACAUCUCUUCUUCUACCUUUCUUCUUUUCUUUUAUUUUUGGUUUGGUUUCAGCCAUGAGAGGCUGAAAUCUUUUAUUCUAGUUGAAGAUUAGGUGAUACUUUGGUUGUUUUAUAGAUUGG
rnacentral:lncRNA from 1 species